rnacentral:lncRNA from 1 species
CCCCUUCUCACAUGUCUGCUGCUCUGGCGUCUUAGCUGGAACUGCACAAGGACAGGUGGAGCUGGAACCGACAGGAAGUACUCCAGCAGGGAGGGUCUGUCCUGAGAGUGAGUGCUCCAAGAGGCCAAGGCUGAAGCUGCAAGGCUCAUGACCCAGCCUCAGAAGUCAGGCUGUAACAUGGCUUUCUCAUGCUGUUGGUUGCAAGCCAGUCACUAAGUCCAGACCAGAUUCAAGAGGAGGAGACUUUGACUCCUCCCCAGCAUGGAGGAGGGGCAUGGUCACAGAGCAUGUGGAAUGGGAGAUAUUGUUUUCUGGCUUUGGAAAAUGCAAUCUGUCAGACUCCCAAAUUCUAGAUAUUUAAAAAAUAUAUAUGUUAUGAAUGUGUGGUUAAAUAAUAACUUACGCAUUGGUUACACAGCAAAACCUUACUUAUGGAACAAAGUCAGAUUUUCUAAGGUCACAAAAAAUAUUUACAUAACUUUAUAGUAACAAAAACAUCUAACAUUUGUUGACAGUUUUAUAUAUGCCAGACACAGGGCUAAACAUUCUUAGUUUCCUCUCUCUCUCUAUAUAUAUAUAUGUAAUAACAUAUAUAAAUAUAAUAAUAACAUAUAUACAUAUUAUUAUUAUGUGUAUAUAUGUAUAUAUGUUAUUAUUAUUAUUCCCAUUUGUCAUAAAAUAGCCAAGCAUUUGAAAACCUUUUAGUGGUGUUAGUCUUUCCAUUAAAUCAUAGCUAUUAUUUAUAGCUUUAAGCAAAUACUGUGAGUAGAUGAGAGACCAAUUUUUAAACAUUAUAGAGCUUAAUAUUUGAAUUAGAAAUACUGUUUUCCACAGCAGCUACACCAUUUUACAUUCCCACCAACAGUGGACAAAGGUUCCAAUUUCUCCACAUCCUUGCCAACACUUGCUAUUUUCCUUUUUUUUUUUUUUAAAUAGUAGUCAUGCCGAGUGGGUUUAUUUUUAGUUUUGUUAAAAAAUAAAAUUUUCCUUGAUGUCUCUGCUUUUAUCAAGAACAUUUGUUUUGUAUAUAUCAACUAUUUUCUAAUAAACACAACAACCAAUUAUUCACAACUGAUAGCACUAUAUAUUGCAAUAUAGUACAGUAGAUAUUUUAGGAUCGCAUUUUCCAGAUGAAGCUUAAACACCACACAUUGAAGCUAAAAAUACAAAUAGACUAGGAAGAACGGAGGAAAAC